GCAUUUUUUCAUAUGUCUGUAGGCCAUGCGCCUGUCUUCUUCAGAGAAGUUUCUCUUCAAGUCCCUCGCCCAGCCUGCGAUGGGAUCACUUGUUCUUUUCUUGCUUAUACAUUUGAGUUCUCUGUGGAUUCUGGUUAUUAAACCUUUGUUGGAGACAUAACCUGCAAAUAGUGAUGUUUUAAGAUGAAAUUUACUUUAGGGUUUUCUUUCAUUGCUAAUAGAAUAGAUAUGACUUGGCCAAUGAUGCAGACACAAACAUUGGCAGAUACAUGGCUUGAAUUGAAUCCUCCUUAUAAUAUUAAGAAAAUCUGUCUCAUACAGUCUUGUUUGUAUAUUUUUCCUCAGAUAAGAGGAAGGCUCAAUAUAAGUAUGCCUGGAGGAAUGCACCAUUGUACCCUGAUUGGCGGAAAGAAGAGUUCCAGGCUGUCAAUGUGACCUUGGAUGCAGCCACUGCCCAUCCUGUGCUCUUUCUGUCUGAAAAUGGGAAACAAGUAACCUGGCAAGAAAGGGGUCAAGAUCUACCCAGCUUCAAAGAGAGAUUCGACUUGCUUCAUUGUGUGCUGGGUCAGCUGAGAAUCACCUCUGGGAGAUGCUUCUGGGAGGUAGAGGUUGAGGUAACAGGUUCCUGGGACCUGGGAAUUUGUAGGGACAAUGUAACAAGGAAGGGGAAGGUCCCAAUGUCCCCACAGAAUGGAUUCUGGGCCAUCAGGCUCUAUGAGGGGGAGUACUGGGCCCUCACCUCCCCAGAAACUCAGCUUACACUGAGAGAUCACCCCCACAGUGUGGGGAUAUUCCUGGAUUAUGAGGCUGGAGAUGUAUCAUUCUAUAACAUGACAGAUGGAUCCCACAUGUUCACCUUUCCCCAAAGCACAUUCUAUGGUGUUCUGAGACCUCUUUUCAGGCUUUGGUCCUCUGACUCAGGUUCUUUGACCAUUAUCUAGGUAAAGGAGAACUCACUGAGGUUAUAAUUAAUAUGUGUAAACCCUUCCAAGAGUAAUGAUGACAUUGGACCCCAAAGAUGGUUAUAAUUUUACAUAAACUACCAGAAACUGAAUUAUGCUUCCUCCUUACUGGUUGAUUAUCAAGAUGAAGCUCUGAAACAGACUGCUGCUUGCUCCUCAUAUCAGUUCUGUCUUUUCCUUAAUUGUAAAUAUAUUAUUACCUUGACCUAUGACAACCUAGUAUAACAAUUAGCUUCCCCUGCUACAUGUGAAUAAACAGCCAGUGCUUUAUAAACCUGA